rnacentral:rRNA from 1 species
CCUACGGGAGGCUGCAGUGAGGAAUAUUGGUCAAUGGGUGGAAGCCUGAACCAGCCAAGUAGCGUGCAGGAUGACGGCCCUACGGGUUGUAAACUGCUUUUAUACGGGAAUAACGCGCCUUACGUGUAGGGCUUUGCAUGUACCAUAUGAAUAAGGACCGGCUAAUUCCGUGCCAGCAGCCGCGGUAAUACGGAAGGUCCGGGCGUUAUCCGGAUUUAUUGGGUUUAAAGGGAGCGUAGGCGGCAUGUCAAGCGUGCUGUGAAAUUUCCGGGCUCAACCCGGGCCUUGCAGCGCGAACUGGCGUGCUUGAGUCCGCGGAAAGCAGGCGGAAUUCGUCGUGUAGCGGUGAAAUGCUUAGAUAUGACGAAGAACCCCGAUUGCGAAGGCAGCUUGCUGCAGCGGAACUGACGCUGAUGCUCGAAAGCGCGGGUAUCGAACAGGAUUAGAUACCCUUGUAGUC